rnacentral:tRNA from 1 species
UAUGGAUUUAAGUUAAAAUAAACUAAUAGCCUUCAAAGCCUUAAAUGACCUAAAGUCAAUCCCUAC